rnacentral:rRNA from 1 species
AAUAGAUACCCUGGUAGUCCACGCCGUAAACGAUGAGUGCUAAGUGUUAGGGGGGUUUCCGCCCCUUAGUGCUGCAGCUAACGCAUUAAGCACUCCGCCUGGGGAGUACGGUCGCAAGACUGAAACUCAAAGGAAUUGACGGGGGCCCGCACAAGCGGUGGAGCAUGUGGUUUAAUUCGAAGCAACGCGAAGAACCUUACCAGGUCUUGACAUCCUCUGACAACCCUAGAGAUAGGGCUUUCCCUUCGGGGACAGAGUGACAGGUGGUGCAUGGUUGUCGUCAGCUCGUGUCGUGAGAUGUUAGGUUAAGUCCCGCAACGAGCGCAACCCUUGAUCUUAGUUGCCAGCAUUUAGUUGGGCACUCUAAGGUGACUGCCGGUGACAAACCGGAGGAAGGUGGGGAUGACGUCAAAUCAUCAUGCCCCUUAUGACCUGGGCUACACACGUGCUACAAUGGACAGAACAAAGGGCUGCGAGACCGCAAGGUUUAGCCAAUCCCACAAAUCUGUUCUCAGUUCGGAUCGCAGU